rnacentral:rRNA from 1 species
GACGAACGCUGGCGGCGUGCUUAACACAUGCAAGUCGAACGGAAAGGCCCCUUUGGGGGUACUCGAGUGGCGAACGGGUGAGUAACACGUGAGUAACCUUCCCUUGACUUCGGGACAACUUUAGGAAACUGGGGCUAAUACCGGUUAGGAAUCCUUGCUGCAUGGUGGGGGUUGGAUAGUUUCGGCGGUUUUGGAUGGGCUCGCGGCUUAUCAGCUUGUUGGGGGGGUAGUGGCUUACCAAGGCUUUGUCGGGUAGCCGGCCUGAGUGGGCGACCGGCCACCUUGAGACUGAGGGACGGCCCAGACACCGACGGGAGGGAGCAGGGGGGAAGAUUGAACGAGGAGCGGAGGCCUGGUGCAGCAACGCCGCGGGCGGGAUGACGGCCUUCGGGUUGUAGACCGCUUUCAGCAGGGGCGAAGCUUGUGGUGACGGUACCUGCAGAAGAAGCACCGGCUAACUACGUG